GACAAAAGAACGUGACAGAUGGGGAGCAGCAACCCAUGACGGCUUGAAGAGGCCAUCACCGAAGCAUUUCAUGACUAGAGUAAGAACAGUGGGCGCCUCUACCCCGCCUACUCACAUGAUCCAAGCUCAUAUAUUAAACCACUGCGUUCAUGGAUGGAUUGAUGGCAGAGCGGACGAGCACACACGGAGAGAGCCUCUCACAUGGGCGAGGGCAGGCAGCCGGAGCCAGAAGCAACCCAGAACAGAGGAUCAACAAUAAAUACCACCCGGGUCCGUUAAAGAUGAAAUCUCUCCGGAAAAAAAAGGGCCCUCAUUGAUGGUACCCACGUGAACCGAAGAUUAAAAUCUCUGUGCUUCUUGUUUUGCCCGGCAGAGCCCUCCCGGUCUUCCACUGUUUCAGGCAUUUUCCUCAAGAACAGUGAGACUCAACAGAUGAACGUGACUGCCUCAAAAGGACAGAAACAGAGACAGCGAACCUCAAGGGAAAACAGAGCAUAAACUCAUUCUUGUAUAUUUCUUCAGAUCUCAGCUGCCACUCGAGAAUAUAACCCCAGCAAUCAAGAAAACAUGAAGACGAUCACAAGCUCGGAGCGCUACCGC
rnacentral:lncRNA from 1 species